rnacentral:rRNA from 1 species
UACAGAGACUGCAAGCGUUAUUCGGAUUCACUGGGCGUAAAGGGUGCGCAGGCGGUUGAGUGUGUCAGAUGUGAAAUCCCGAGGCUUAACCUCGGAACUGCGUCUGAAACUACUCGACUAGAGUACUGGAGGGGGAAACGGAAUUCACGGUGUAGCAGUGAAAUGCGUAGAUAUCGUAAGGAAGACCAGUGGCGAAGGCGAAUCUCUGGACAGUUACUGACACUGAGGCACGAAGGCCAUGGGAGCAAACGGG